UACGUAGGCAGCAAGCGUUGUUCGGAAUUACUGGGCGUAAAGAGUGUGUAGGCGGUGCUCUAAGUCUGUUGUGAAAUCUCCCGGCUUAACCGGGAGGGUGCGGCGGAAACUGGAGUGCUUGAGGGUGGGAGAGGUAAGCGGAAUUCCGUGGUGUAGCGGUGAAAUGCGUAGAUAUCAGGAGGAACACCUGUGGUGUAGACAGCUUACUGGACCACUUCUGACGCUGAGACACGAAAGCGUGGGUAGCAAACAGG
rnacentral:rRNA from 1 species